AAUCAACGCUGGCGGCGUGCCUCAGACAUGCAAGUCGAACGCGAAAGGUUCCUUCGGGAGCCGAGUAGAGUGGCGCUCGGGUGAGUAACACGUAGGUAAUUUGCCUUUGGGUGGGGAAUAACAAUCGGAAACGGUUGCUAAUACCGCAUAAUGCAGCGGCUCGACAUCGAGACAGUUGUUAAAGCGGGGGAGUCCUUCGGGACCUCGCGCCUAAAGAGAAGCCUGCGGCGGAUUAGCUAGUUGGUGAGGUAAUGGCUCACCAAGGCGACGAUCCGUAACCGGCCUGAGAGGGCGGACGGUCACACUGACACUUAAAUAACGGGUCAGACUCCUACGGGAGGCAGCAGUCGGGAAUUUUGGGCGAAUGGGCGAAAGCCUGACCCAGCAACGCCGCGUGAAGGAUGAAAUCCCUCGGGAUGUAAACUUCGCAAGAACGGGAAGAAUAAGCGAGAGUAAAUACCUCUCGUGAUGACGGUACCGUUUGUAAGCU
rnacentral:rRNA from 1 species